UACGUAGGGUGCAAGCGUUGCCCGGAAUUAUUGGGCGUAAAGAGCUCGUAGGCGGUUUGUCGCGUCUGCCGUGAAAGUCCGGGGCUCAACUCCGGAUCUGCGGUGGGUACGGGCAGACUAGAGUGAUGUAGGGGAGACUGGAAUUCCUGGUGUAGCGGUGAAAUGCGCAGAUAUCAGGAGGAACACCGAUGGCGAAGGCAGGUCUCUGGGCAUUAACUGACGCUGAGGAGCGAAAGCAUGGGGAGCGAACAGG
rnacentral:rRNA from 1 species